GAUGAACGCUGGCGGCGUGCCUAAUACAUGCAAGUCGAGCGAACAGACGAGGAGCUUGCUCCUCUGACGUUAGCGGCGGACGGGUGAGUAACACGUGGAUAACCUACCUAUAAGACUGGGAUAACUUCGGGAAACCGGAGCUAAUACCGGAUAAUAUAUUGAACCGCAUGGUUCAAUAGUGAAAGACGGUUUUGCUGUCACUUAUGGAUGGAUCCGCGCCGCAUUAGCUAGUUGGUAAGGUAACGGCUUACCAAGGCAACGAUGCGUAGCCGACCUGAGAGGGUGAUCGGCCACACUGGAACUGAGACACGGUCCAGACUCCUACGGGAGGCAGCAGUAGGGAAUCUUCCGCAGUGGGCGAAAGCCUGACGGAGCAACGCCGCGUGAGUGAUGAAGGUCUUCGGAUCGUAAAACUCUGUUAUUAGGGAAGAACAAAUGUGUAAGUAACUAUGCACGUCUUGACGGUACCUAAUCAGAAAGCCACGGCUAACUACGUG
rnacentral:rRNA from 1 species